UACGGGGGGGGCAAGCGUUGUUCGGAAUUACUGGGCGUAAAGGGCUCGUAGGCGGCCAACUAAGUCGGAUGUGAAAUCCCCAAGCUUAACUUGGGAACUGCAUCCGAUACUGGAUGGCUUGAGUUUGGGAGAGGGAUGCGGAAUUCCAGGUGUAGCGGUGAAAUGCGUAGAUAUCUGGAGGAACACCGGUGGCGAAGGCGGCAUCCUGGACCAACACUGACGCUGAGGAGCGAAAGCCAGGGGAGCAAACGGG
rnacentral:rRNA from 1 species